rnacentral:rRNA from 1 species
GUCGAACGAGAAUUUUCCCUUCGGGGAAAUAGUAAAGUGGCGCAAGGGUGAGUAACACGUGAAUAAUCUGCCUACGAAUUUGGGAUAACGCGGGGAAACCUGUGCUAAUACCAGAUAAGACCACGUCUCUUAUGUGAUGUGGCCAAAGGAGCCUCAAGCUCCGUUUGUAGAUGAGUUCGCGGACCAUUAGCUUGUUGGAGGGAUAAAAGCCCCCCAAGGCGACGAUGGUUAGCCGGCCUGAGAGGGUGAUCGGCCACACUGGAACUGAGACACGGUCCAGACUCCUACGGGAGGCAGCAGUGGGGAAUAUUGCGCAAUGGGCGAAAGCCUGACGCAGCAACGCCGCGUGAGGGAUGAAGGAUUUUGGUUCGUAAACCUCUGUCAAGUGGGAAGAAUACUGACGGUACCACUAAAGGAAGCCCCGGCUAACUCCGUGCCAGCAGCCGCGGUAAUACGGAGGGGGCAAGCGUUGUUCGGAAUCAUUGGGCGUAAAGAGUAUGUAGGCGGCUAUUUAAGUCAGACGUGUAAGCCCACGGCUCAACCGUGGAAUUGCGUUUGAAACUAUUUAGCUUGAGUGCAGGAGAGGAAGGCGGAAUUCCCAGUGUAGCGGUGAAAUGCAUUGAUAUUGGG